rnacentral:rRNA from 1 species
UACGAAGGGUGCUAGCGUUGUUCGGAAUCAUUGGGCGUAAAGCGUGCGUAGGCGGUUUAGUAAGUCGAAUGUGAAAGCCCAGGGCUUAACCUUGGAAUUGCAUUCGAAACUACUAAACUAGAGUAUGGCGGGGGAUAGUGGAAUUCUUAGUGUAGGGGUGAAAUCCGUAGAUAUUAAGAGGAACACCAGUGGCGAAGGCGACUAUCUACACCAUUACUGACGCUGAGGUACGAAAGCGUGGGGAGCAAACAGG